AUUGAACGCUGGCGGCAUGCCUUACACAUGCAAGUCGAACGGCAGCAUGGAGAGCUUGCUCUCUGAUGGCGAGUGGCGAACGGGUGAGUAAUGCAUCGGAACGUACCGUGUAAUGGGGGAUAACGUAGCGAAAGUUACGCUAAUACCGCAUACGACCUGAGGGUGAAAGCAGGGGAUCGCAAGACCUGGCGUUAUACGAGCGGCCGAUGUCAGAUUAGCUAGGCGGUGAGGUAAAGGCUCACCAAGGCGACGAUCUGUAGCGGGUCUGAGAGGAUGAUCCGCCACACUGGGACUGAGACACGGCCCAGACUCCUACGGGAGGCAGCAGUGGGGAAUUUUGGACAAUGGGGGCAACCCUGAUCCAGCCAUGCCGCGUGAGUGAAGAGGGCCUUCGGGUUGUAAAGCUCUUUCGGCCGGGAAGAAAUCGCACAGGCUAAUACUCUGUGUGGAUGACGGUACCGGCAUAAGAAGCACCGGCUAACUACGUGCCAGCAGCCGCCGUAA
rnacentral:rRNA from 1 species